rnacentral:rRNA from 1 species
CAGUCGCCGCGGUAAUACGAAGGGUGCAAGCGUUACUCGGAAUUACUGGGCGUAAAGCGUGCGCAGGCGGUUGUGUAAGACAGGUGUGAAAUCCCCGGGCUUAACCUGGGAACUGCGCUUGUGACUGCACAGCUAGAGUAUGGCAGAGGGGGGUGGAAUUCCACGUGUAACAGUGAAAUGCGUAGAGAUGUGGAGGAACACCGAUGGCGAAGGCAGCCCCCUGGGCCAAUACUGACGCUCAUGCACGAAAGCGUGGGGAGCAAACAGGACUAGAUACCCGUGUAGUCCCUGUCUCUUAUAC